GGGGAUCUGGUUUAGGGUAAAAUGCUUCUUUAGCAUAGAAGCGGUCCGGGGUUCGAUUCCCGCGUCUCCA
rnacentral:tRNA from 1 species